rnacentral:rRNA from 1 species
GGGGAAGUAUUGCACAAUGGGCGCAAGCCUGAUGCAGCCAUGCCGCGUGUAUGAAGAAGGCCUUCGGGUUGUAAAGUACUUUCAGCGAGGAGGAAGGCAUUAAGGUUAAUAACCUUAGUGAUUGACGUUACUCGCAGAAGAAGCACCGGCUAACUCCGUGCCAGCAGCCGCGGUAAUACGGAGGGUGCAAGCGUUAAUCGGAAUUACUGGGCGUAAAGCGCACGCAGGCGGUUUGUUAAGUCAGAUGUGAAAUCCCCGGGCUCAACCUGGGAACUGCAUUUGAAACUGGCAAGCUUGAGUCUUGUAGAGGGGGGUAGAAUUCCAGGUGUAGCGGUGAAAUGCGUUAGAGAUCUGGAGGAAUACCGGUGGCGAAGGCGGCCCCCUGGACAAAGACUGACGCUCAGGUGCGAAAAGCGUGGGGAGCAAACA